ensembl:lncRNA
AAUUGACCGUGCCCAGUGAGCACAAGACGUAAUUUCAACGUUGAAAUAUGGUUGAAAUCGGGUUGAAAUGAGGUCUGAACGUCUAAGACCUCAUUUCAACGUCUUUUCAACCGGCUAAAAAUGGGAUAAAACAUCAACGUGCCAGAAAACAUCAAUUUGUUGACAAAUGUGUCAUGAUGUAACGUAAGGUUGAAAGAUAGACGAUAUUAACGUUAAGAUCUUCAUAAUAAUUAAUGAACUGGUCGGCGAAAUUUGGUCUACGCGAAGACGUAAUUUCAACGUAUUUAAUAUUUCACUUAAAACGUUAUAAAUAUGAAACUACGGACUGCGUGCUGUUAAUAAGAUGCGUUUAAGACAUAAUAAUGCGGGCAGGUUCAAACAUUACUUGUAAACACGUAACUCCGCUCACAUCUGUAACGCGCAUGCGCGAGUUCUUAGACGCCUGCAGAGCUCCGAGCGGACGCAGCACGAGGCGAAGUUACGGCAGCAGAGCGACAUGAACGGGCUGAUAGAACCACGACUACCGGCUCCACUACUCUGUUUCUGCGGGUGGUGGUUGCAUCUGAUGGAGGUUACGUCUGAUGAUGGUUGUCCCUGGACUGGUCCUGCCUUACCCCUGGCUUAGUAAUCCACAACAUUAGAAUCAUUUCUGUCGUAGGAAUUGGAUGUACUGUACAUCUUUAAAUUGUUCAUACUCUACACACCUACUGCCUUGCUGUUUUCUCCUCAGGUUUCUCCUGGUUGAAGGUUUUUUACAUUUUGGGGGUUUUAGGACAGGAGGUUGCAUGUUUACAGAUUGCAAAGCUGAACAAAAUAAAAUGAUUUGAAUUGAAUAAACACGUUGACCAGAGAAAUCUGCAAUUGAGGGCUGUUCUCUGCACUCUGACUCCCUUUACACAAAGAAUCAUCAAGUGAGGAUGAGGGAGAUGCAGCUGAUUUCAGGUAUACUAUCCCAACUCAAGUGACUCACAGCCACAUCUUGUUGCAGAAUCUAAAAAUGAAGUUCAAAUGAUUCAGAAAAAUGGUCUACAAACACAGAAUUGUUGUUGUUGAACACAGAAAUGUUGUUUCUGCACUUUUAAAUCCAUAGUUAAUUUCCCUGAAAUAUAUAUUUUAUUUUUGUAUUUUUAAUUAGGAAAAGUGUUAUAUGUAUAGUGUUAUAUUUAUAAUAAAUGCAAAUUAAUAAAAUAAUGUGUUUGUCCUUGUUAAGGGCUGUUAACAUGACAACUGUGACUAAGUAUGUAACUUGUACGUUUCCAGCGAGCAAUUUAUCCGUUGAAACAACGUUUAAAAGACGUCUAUGGCCCGACGUUGAAAAGAGGUUGCAAAUUGGUUCAAAAGUGAAAGUUGUUUCAACGUCUAUUCAUAGACGUUGAAAAGACGUUUACGUUUAGACCACAUUUCAACCAGCGAGCAUUUCAACGUUGAAAAGACAUUUAAAAGACGUCUAUGCCCGACGUUGAAAAGACGUUGCAAAAUGGUUUAAAAGUGAAAGUUGUUUCAACGUCUAUUCGUAGACGUUGAAAAGACGUUCGCGUAUAGACCCGUUUUCAACGUGAUUUAUAAUAUCGGUGGGAAACUUACAAAUGUGGACGUAGUUUCUUUUUAAACCUCUAAAAUAAUGAGAUAGCACACAAGAGAGGACGAAAUAUUACCGUAUUAAAAAAUCACGUUGAAAUGUGGUCUAAACAUAGACGUCUUUUCAACGUCUACGAAUAGACGUUGAAACAACUUUCACUUUUAAACCAUUUUGCAACGUCUUUUCAACGUCGGGCAUAGACGUCUUUUAAACGUCUUUUCAACCAAAAAAUGCUCACUGGGU